ACUCCACCAGCCGGCCCCGCGGGACGGUUACUCUGUUCCUGAGGUACCCCCCGAGAUUGUCUGUGGGGUCAGAAACAGCUCUGGAGGGGUCUGCAGAAAUUACUUUCCCAAGUCUUUGGGCUGGAAGGAACGAACAGUGCCUGACCAAGGACUUUGAGCAGGAGAGAGAUGGGAGCAGAGAGGAGCCAAGACCGUCUUGGACUACCAGCCUGUCCGCCACCCCUCGGGGCCCUCCCUCCUACUCUGCCCUUGCCCGCUGAGGUCCCAAGCUGAGGAGAUGAGCCGAGCAGUAAAAAGAGAGGAGGUUUGGAAAAGCAAUGUCCUCUCAGUCUUUAAUAGGUGGCCCCCCUGGGAACCUGCUGGAAGUGGAAGUUAAUAAGCUGAAGGUGGUCACAACCAAUCUCUGCCACACUCGCACCCUACCCCACCCCAAAUCAUUCCUUUUAAUUAAUAGUGGAAGACCUUUUUAAAAAUGUAACAUGAAUUGGCUAUUUCUUGAGGCAAACAAAAGGUGGCUCUGAAGCGAUAUAUUUGUACUCGUAUAAAUUCAUUAAAAUAGAAAGCUUAUAACCAUCCAGGUUUCACUGACAGCCCCAGUCCAUCUACAUGCAGAAAUGGUCCCUCCAAAGCCCUCUACGACAAUUAUUCUCACAGAUCGUCAUGAUAAACUGUAAGGGAAUAUACUAAGAAAGAGGGAAGAAGAGAGGAGGAGUCCAUUUUUAAUUAGUGGUUGGAAAUAGAGUAAAAAUUAGAGGGCCUUAGGUUUAAAACACAGAUGUGCAUUGUGAUCGUCUGAAGGAAGAGCUGUUGACAGAGAAAACAAGGUGGUGAACUAUGCCCUUGGCCUGUGACAGUUAGGUGAGGGUUGCUCACCGCAGAAGACAGACCGGUAGAGCCCAGCAGGAAAGAGGGUAUCAGGCUGGAAGAAGUGCAGUUUGGCCCUGGCGGAGUGGUGGAGUGGCUGGAGCGACUGCAGGAGGAGGAUAGAUCUGGAAGCAGGUCUGGGCUAUACUUUGGCCUCAGCCAGGGAGCCAGAGAAGGAAGGCUUGGGUUCGAGGGGGGAAAUCAUUCUCCCAAAUUGCUUUCUCAGAAGCGCCAAUUCAGAUCACCUGAAGACAGGGUCUGGGCCCCAUUACAGCAUGGUUCCCAAAUGGGAGUGUGCUUGGAAGCCUUGGUGAUUAAAGGGUGCUGACUAAAAGAGUCAAACUCUGUAAAAUAUUUGAAGAGAUUUAUUCUGAGCCAAAUAUGAGUGACCAUGGCCCAUGACACAGCCCUCAGGAGACCCUGAGAACAUGUGUUCAAGGUGGUCGGGGUACAGCUUGGUUUUAUAUGUUUUAGGAAGGCAUGAGACUCAAUCAAAGACAUUUUAAAAAUACAUUGGUUUGGUUCAGAAAGGUGAGACAACUCAAAGUGGGGGCUUCCAGGCUAUAGGUAAAUUUAAACAUUUUCUGACUGACAAUUGGUUGGGUUUAUCUGGAGACCUGGGAUUAAUGGAAAGGAAGGUUCAUGUUAAGAUACAGAACUGUGGGGACCAAGUUUUAUUGUGCAGAGGAAUCUCUCAGAUAGCAGACUUCAGAGAGAGAGAGAGCAGGUUGUAAAAUGUUUCUUAUCGGACCUAAAAGGGUACCUGGCUCUUAGUUGAUUAUCUCCUGGAUCUGGGAAGGAAGGAAGGAAAACAAAGGGGAAAGGAAAUAUUUCCUAUAGAAUAUGGAUUUUUCCCACAAGAGACUUUGCAGGACAAUUUCGAGAUAUGGCAAGGAGAUUUAUUUUGGGGUAAAACAUUUUGAUUUUCUUCCUUGUUAUGCCACAGUCAGAUUGGAAAGUCAGUCAUGAUAUACAGGGUCAGAUAAAAUCCGUCUGAUGAGAAUGUAUGGUUGGUAGGGCAUGACUCCCCAGACCCCUUAGAUAGGAAUCUGGGCAAGAUAAAAAAUCGGAGCUUAGUCCUCAAGGGAAGGGGCAGCAGCGCUGUUGGCGGGCUCACCAAGCAUCAGUACUGGAUCACCAGGCUUGGGAGAGUAGGGGUGUCAAGGCCCCAAGAGCAGGGAGGGCCUUGGCCCCACUAGGGGGGCAUCAGAAAGCAGGGAGCACUUGUAGUUCACCAUGAUUCCCCUCAAAGCCCUGGGCCAGCCUCCUGCAGGGAAGGCGGGCAGGAAGUCUUCCCCAUAGGGGCAGGCUUGCUUUUUUGGCCAGCCAUCCUCUUCAUAUGAAAAACAGCAUCUUGUCAUUUCUAGAUGUUUCUACUUUGGUUGACUCUUUAAUUUUUCUGCAGUUAAAAGCCUUAAAACAGCAAGGAAGCAGGGGACAGGAGGGGAGCCCAGAUCUCUCCCAAAGAAAAGGAGAAAGACUGAAUCCUUGAGGCCUGCCGUACAAAGGAGUGGUGGGUUGGAGGAGGGUAGGCAGAGACUAGGGUGGUCUGGGACUUUAAGUACAAGGCCCCGUGGAUUUCAUUGGGGGGCAAGCCAUGUGCAACAGGGAAGCUCAGGAACCGGGGGGUUUCGCACAGAGGUCUGGUGCUGUGAGGUACAGGGAAAGAAUUAGUGGAUCUGGACCAGUGGAACAUUGGUUUAGUGUAAUCUCUGAUUUGUGUUGAGUGAAUUUGAGUAUAGUCCAACCACCACCCCCCUACCCCAACUAAACCAUGUGCCCCUCAGGAGCUGGGACUCUUCUAUUUUCUAUUCCUUAUAGCAGGCUCAGUGCCUGACACACUACGUUGAAUUUUAUUUUAAACAUUUCAUUUACAUUAAAUGGUAUAUUUGCAAGUUCAUUCUUCCAGACCUCAGUUUAUUCUUUUAUCUAGUCAUUUUAAAGGGAUUCUCUCAGACCCUCCACUAGCUAAGAGAACCGAACUUUUCUUCCAGAAUUGUCAGGAAAUGGGACUUACUGACUUAGUGAGCUACUUAUUUUAUCUAGAAUUAACUGUGUCUAAUAAAAUAUAUAUGCACUUUGGGAAUGGAUGAGGUGCUACACAAAUGAAAGAUGGUAUUAUUCAUCAUACAGUGUUUUUGAUUAUAAUAGAUUAUUCUCUGCCAAAACCCAGAAGGGCCAAGUCGAGGUAGGUUGCUGAAAGGGGAGGAAGUCUAAAUAGCAGAAUCAGACUUUUCCAUAAGUUUGCAGUGGCGUAUGGACAACACUCAGGCAACCAGCCCUCGGCACAGCAACAGGGGACCCACCUCCUAAGUUGGGGCUGAGUAAAGACAUAUUCCCGGGGCAAGGCUUUGCCAAGGCAGGCCUCUUCUGAAACAUAAGUCCCAUCUUUCUCCCGGCCCCGCCACCCCACCUCAGAUGUGCUGUCUAGAAGCUGCACAUCUGGGGCCGUUCAAACUCCUGGCUCGAAUCACUGGAAUCAUCUGAGCAGGAUAAUUUUACAUUAAUGAUUAAAAAUUGCUCUUCUAGAUAUAGCCUUGCCUCAGGGUAGCCAUUAAGAACAUUACUUCGUAAUUUAAGAAGCUCAAUGUAGGGCGCUUUGGGCAUUUGCAAAGAGGGAACUGUACUCAUAUCUUGAUAAAUUGCAAAAUGUCUCCCACCAUCUUCUUGUUCUGUAUCUCCUCUUCUGCCUUCUGCCAUUGCACUCUCUGGCAUAUAAUCCUUUUAAAGAAUAAGAACAAAAACAAAAAAAAAAGGAAGAUAAUGAAAAGCCUAUUGUUUCUUAGUGUCCGCUGAUGUUAAACACGCACACGCAUGCACAAUUAUGAAUUUUGUGUAUUUCUUCCGGGGGAUGGAGCCAUAAAGGGUUACACUUUGGUAUGUGAUUUUGGAGCCUACACUUGAAAUGGGAAUUUGAAUGUAGUUGAACAGACUUUUAACAUUGCCCCGAGAAGAAUGAUACUGGCAUUUGCUUGUCUGCGGUGUCACACCCCGGAGUGUGGAGGAUCCUCACCGGCUCUGUGACUCACCCUGGAAGUUGCACCUUUCUCGGGGGGCAGGGUGGGGAGUUACUUUUUAUAAGUAAACCCCAGAGAGCAGUGUUUCCGUAUCAAUCAGUUUCUCAACAAGUUUGAGAGCAGAUUGUGCCUCAAUCCCUAUCGUUGGGGAUGCUCUCCAAGCUCUCCGGGGUGCCGCCAAGCCAGGAUCUCCCAUUCUGAUGCAUCCUGGGUCUCCUCUUCCCUUGCCCCUCUUCCUUGUUCUCCACUCUGAGCCAGCUAGACAGGUGAAGCAGAGAACCUGUCUAGUCCAAACUCCUUAUUUUACAGAUCAGGAGCGUGAGGCCCAGAGAGGGAUUGCCCUUACCCCAUCCUGCAUCCCCUCUCCUCCUCUUCUGCCUUCACCCCAAUACCUUCCAGCGUGAAUGAUGCCCACCCUGUCUCUCUUCUAGCCCCGCAUCCUGCAUUACUCUUUUCACAAUAUUUUUGAGUAAGUGGCCUGCUGCAAUCUUAUAUUUGGCAUGGCAAAGGCAGACCCCUUUCCCUCCCUCCAGACCCCCAGCUCAGCCACUGUGAGUGCUGUAAGGCCAGUCCCCACCUGUGUCCUUCUAUUCAUCACAAACUAAGCACAUGCUACUUUAUCUUUUAUCUCCUCGUGUCCACAAAACAGGCCACAACCAAGGUCAUGCUGCCAAACAGAUCUGGGAGAAUGGUAAUUGACAAUUCACGCUAAAAAUUGUGUUGAACAAAAAUUCUCUUCUAUUAGAAAAAUGACAGGAGAGACAACUUUGCCAUUAUGUUGCUUUCUCCUCAAUCGGGACACACAAAAAAUCUCAAUAAAAAUGUUAUAUCAAAGGCUCGCAAACAUCAUUCAAAUCUUCCCUAACCCAUUGCUUUCAUUUGAAAAACGAGCAUUUCAUUAAAGACACUUGACAGGAUGUUAAUUUGUUGUGGGAAUCUGUCAGUGUCCAAACAAAUACUUGCAUGUUUUGUGCAGAUGAGGUAACCGCUUGUAGAAUGGCAAAACCAGAAGGCAUUUGGGUGACCUGCUUUGGCCUUUUGACUUUACAGAAGAAGAAACUGUUGCCUGGUGAGAGAAAGAGACUUGCCCAGGGCCACUCACUGGUAGUAGAACUGGGACUAGAACGAGAGCCUCCCAACCCCCAGGCAGGGCCCUUCCUUCUCACAAUGGCAGAACCACAAGAUAUUGACAAUGGAAAGGAUCUUGGAGGUCUCCCUAACACUUCUAAAUACUGAAAGGUUGGACCAACCACAUCAAGAGAGAGCCAACUACGCUGAAGAACGUGUCAUCACCUCCUGAGAGCUGCCUGAAUUGGAGGCGCAGGUCCCAGGAAGUAGUGACUCCUCUUCAGAAGCUGGGUCUGCAAGCCUGUGCAAAUGUGAGGUUUCCGGUUCCCUCCCUCCUCUGGUGGAAGCUGCUAGAGGGCAGACACUACGUAUCUCGAUUCUUUGCUGUCACCUUUCAGCUGUCAGCUCUGAUGUUUCUUCAUCCAACGGGUGCUGAUGGAAGCUCCCCAGCUGCUGGGUCAGUCGCCAGCCAUCUGAGGUGUCGACAGAGAAAGAGAAAGACCAGGAAACCAUUUCUAACAUAGUUGGCCCAGAGCAGAGAGUGAAUCACCAGAAACAGACUGGAAGAGGCUAUAAAACGAAAAUAAAACAGGAUGGUAAUUUAUGAUGAGCAGUAAAAAGGCCUGGGACGCUGAACAGCUAGUGAAGGUUCAUUUCCCUCUACUCUGUGGAUCUUUAACCAUGCUGAGCAUUUCCCUGUCCAGCCUGGCAGCCCCUAAAAUUUGGAAAGCCCUCUGUCCCCCACAUCAAGGUGAGAAAGUAAGGCUGUCUUGACAGCCCUUGGUAUACUGGUUCUCCUCUGCAAAAGCACCUGCCCACAGGGCCCCAAAACCCUUACGAUAAAAUCCAUUUCCAUUGUGCAACACCAUAUAGAUGGUGAGGCACAUUCCCACCCAUUAUCUCAUUUGAUCCUUACAGAAACUCUGGGAGGGGACUUCGUUUUUUUUUUUUUUUAAGAGACGGAGGCUUGCUCUGUCGUUAAGCUGGAGUGCAGUGGUACCAUCUUGGCUCACUGCAACCUCCGCCUCCCAGGUUCAAGUAAUUCCCCUGCCUCAGCCUCCUGAAUAGCUGGGACUACAGGUGUGUGCCACCACACCUGGCUAAUUUUGGGAAGGGCCUUUUAUGAAGACAUAAGGGUACUGAAAAUCACUCACAGCAAAUCAAAGACCCAAGACCUGACAAACCCCAGACCUGGACUCAGGACGACCCAACAACCUAUUUCAAGAUCAAAGUCUUUCUCAAACCUGCCCCAUGAGCCUUGCUAGGAGCAGAAGACUUUGAAAUUUAAGAUAUUAAGUGUAGGCUGUUCCCCUACUUCUACACUCCUCCCAUCCACGAAGCCCCAAAGGCUGGAGCCCAGGUCCAGGACAAAGGGCACCCACAAAGAGCCUAAAGAGCCUCAAGGUGGAGUGAGCCAACUUGAGAGGGAGGCCAGCAAACCUCUCUGAUGUCAGAGCCUUCAGGCAGUGAUUAGGGCAGGCUACCUCUCUGCCUCUCCCUGGCCCUAUCAGGGUGGUCACCCAUGAGUCACUGAAGUUUAUGGAGCCCAUGGGCUGUCCCUGCUCUGAGGAGCCCAGCUGGGUCUCCACAAGGCCUGGCCAGGUAUCCCAAAGGGCUAAGCCAGCCUCUUCCCCACUUACUGGUGGGUGUGAAUUGCUCCUAGCUGCCUGUACCUGUCGACCUCUCGUCCUGUGCAGGGGGGGUGGUGUGUGCCCUCAAGCUCCCAAUCUACAAAGUUCAAAAGUGAGGGCAUGCAGCAACUGGUGAGAGGGCAUCCUUCCAAGCUGGGUUUAGAAGGUGUCUGAAUGAGGAGGGAGGUGCCUGGAAGCAGAGCGGCUCUGGACACCCUCACAUUCGUGUGGCUGUUUCUUGGGUUGACCUGGGGGUCUUCCUAUGGGACUGUCCCUCUGUAGUAUGGUGGAGUAGGAGGGAAGAGGGCCAGAGCUGAGAGCUCUGGGGUGGAGUCCAGUGCCAGUCCUACCACUGACUCAUCAUGUGAGUCACCUCUCUUGAGACCCAGUCACCUCUACUUGUCCAUUUUAUAGUACCCUUGGAAAGUUCCCAUGAGUUAAUGGGUAUGGAAGGACCUGGUAAAUAAAUCAAGUGCCCCUGAGUUGUAGGGUGCUAUAACUAUCAUUAGCUGAGCAAGGAGGUUACCAACAGCCCCAUCCCAUUCCUGAUGCAUCUUGGGGCUAUUUAUGGCGAGUCCCCAGGCCUGCUACCGCCAUCGUGUCCUCAGCACAUCAGGGCUUGCUUGUUCACAUACCCCUCCCUGUGUACAAGCCUGAAACUCAGGGAAAGCAAAUGCAACUCCACAUCAGGCCAAGGUAGAGGACCCGAGGGUCACUGAUCCCGAAUAUUCCCAAGCCCACUCCCUACCCCCACAGACAUCCUUUCUUUUUAAUCAUCCUCUCCCCAUGAUUCCUCAGAGGAAGGAGGAGGCCACCCAGCUCAGAGCCCUGUUCUGCUCUCUGCUCAUCUACCUGAAGCUCAAACUGUCCUGAUCUCCAUGCUUUUCAAGAACAGGUGUCAGCAAAGACCUCAGGCAUCCUCAGCAGAAGGCCUGAGAGCUAUGGUCUCUAAUUGAGGCUGUUCACCGGACGCUGACUUACCGGUCUGAAGACCUCAAGACCCAGAAGACCACUUCUGGUUACUAGGCUGGGCAGCAGCUGCCCUAAGCCUCUCUUUGGUAUUAAUUUCCUAAUCUGCCCCAAGAACCCCAGGUUCUUCUUAGGACAGUUUCUGCUGGCUGUUCCCUUUUAUUUAACCCAGAGUACCCCUUGGGUCACUUGAUACUUGAGAGGAGAAUUCUUUGUUAAGCUAGAGCACAGAUUUCAAAAGUGAUUUUUCAGGGGCGUGGAUGCCACCACCAGGAUCUUAGGGGAUGGCCUCCCCUUGCUCCCCAAAUGCCCAAAUUCUGAACUCUUGGGUGUCCAACCCCACCCAGCCAGUCCCCAAAAACUGCUUCUCCUUCCUCUCUCUUGCUCCGCAACACCUCCUGGCCCCAACAACGCCACUAUUCCUUGAGUGGUUUGACAUAAGUGAAGUAACAGGUAUAAAACUGAGUUUUGAAGUAAUUGACGCAAGAAUUUGGACUCUGGAGAACUUCCCAGAGGAAUGAAAAUCAGCAACGUGGUGGCCUAUUUGGAAAAGACCUGCCAUGAUGAACAAACCCUAACAAUGCUAAGCAGGUCUGUCUGCUCCUUCCAAUUCCUUUUUUUUUUUUUACAUCUAUUGUGCACUUUAUUUCUAUUAUUACUACAUUGUAAUACAUAAUGAAAUAAUUACACAAGUCAUCAUAAUGUAGAAUCAAUGGGAGUCCUGAGCUUGUUUUUCUGCAACUAGAUGGUCCCAUCGUGAAGAGAUAGGAGACAAUGACAUAUCAUCAGGCAUUAGAGUCUCAUAAGGAGCAUGUGACCUAGAUCCCUUGAACAUGCAUUUCACAAUAGGAUUUUCACUCCUAUGAGAAUCUAAUGCCUUUGCUGAUCUGACAGGAGGCAGAGCUCAGGUGAUAAUGUGAGCAACGGGGAGUGGCUGGAAAUACAGACGAAGCUUCACUCGCUUGCCUGCCACUCACCUCUUGCUGUGCAGCCUGGUUCCUAAUAGGUCAUGGACCUGUCCAUGGUUUGCAGGCUGGGGACCCCUGCAAGGAUCCAGAUUUAAAUUCAGAAGAAGCUUCAUCUACUUCUGUAGUUCCAUUUUCUUGCAAUACCUGCUGCAGCAAACUUGAACAUUGCAGGAUUUUCUCAAGCCGCUCAAUUUGGUCAUCUUGCUUUUUAAUAGUUUUUCUUAUCACGGCAUUUUCUACUUCAAGCCUUAUUUUGUGUGCUGCUUCACAUUGUAUUUUUGUGCAUGGCCUUCCGUCUCCAUAGUACAUCUUAUAGUUGCUGUAAGUUGAUCCUGUAUUUCUUGAAAAUUUUAUUCUUAGCCUCAAUUGCAUAAUCUUCUGCAGUCUUUCCAUAUGCAUCUCGAGAAAACACAUCAGUAUUGUGCUGCAGAAGAAGAACGACUAUAUCUUUUUCUCCAAGAUUAACAGCAAGUAUGAGGGCUGAUCUGCUAAGAUAAUCAAUUGCAUUUACAUUUGUGUUUUUCUUUAAUAAAACUUCCACCAUUUUCAGUUUUCUUUGACUCACAGCAAGUAAAAGUGGUUGAUAUUCAUAUGAAGGACAUUUUCCGGGGUGUCCAUGGCCAGAGGACGCUGGCCGGCAGCGGUCAAACUUGAACCGCAAACUAGAAGCCACCGCCAAUUCGAAUCCCAAUUCCUUUUUAAAAACACUAUCAAAGAAUGUGUGACAGAGAAUCCACCCAGACUUGAUGAUCUGCACCUCUUCAGGGUAGCUGUGCCAUAGAAACUGGCAAACUGCUGGCCAGGCGCGGUGGCUCAUGCCUGUAAUCCUAACACUUUGGGAGGCCGAGGCGGGCAGAUCACCUGAGGUCAGGAGUUACAGACCAGCCUGGCCAACAUGGUGAAACCCUGUCUCUACUAAAAAUACAAAAAUUAGCCGGGCAUGGUGGUGCAUGCCUAUAAUCCCAGCUACUCAGGAGGCUGAGGCAGGAGAAUCACUUGAACCCAGGUGGCAGAGGUUGCAGUGAGCUGAAAUUGAGCCAUUGCACUCCAGCCUGGGCUACAGAGCGAGACUCCGUGUCAAACAAAACAAAACAAAACUAAACUAAACUAAACUAAACUAAACCUGCAAACUGCUUCUUGGUCUUGGUCUGGGCGUAUUCUCCCAAAUUCGCUAAAGGAAAGGAUAGAAGUUUCUGUGGCCCAGAGCCCAGAACUGAGCAUCCUGGAGCCCCUGCCAGAGGGUGCUGGCAUCCUGCUAAGCAUUCUUCUCCACCCUCCUCCCCAAAGUUCUGCAAAGGAGACCUCAUCCAGGUGCUCCCCAUGCUGGCUGUGGGCGCCAGGCUGAUGGCCCUCCAGAACGGUGCCUUUGGAGGUUUACUGAGGCUGAGUGAAGCCAGAGUUAGUUCCCAUCACUUGUGUCGACAUGGAUAGUUGGACUGCUGCCCUUGCUUAGGGGCCUUUCAUUCUUCACUGGAAUCCAAGUUACACUUCCGCUUCUUCGCUAGUUGGCUGCUGCAUAUCUAAGCUGCUCAGAGUCCGGCCACGGCAGUUCGUCCUGCACUUGCCAGGUGUUUGUAGCUCAAAGGCACCAUGCUUGGCUCAGGGGGCUCCCACUCCCAGUACUUAUGGAGCCCCAAGAAAGGAAUGGCUAGGAAUCCCACCCACAAUGCUCCUGUAAGGCCAAGAUAGAAAAGGCUGCCUUCAGGUGAGCCAGCUCGCCAGUCCUAGAAUGAAGGCAGAAUUCAGCCUAGGCCAAUCUGAAGGCAGUUCUUUUUUUUUCUUUGAGACGGAGUCUCACACUCUGUCACCCUAGCUGGAGUGCAGUGGUGCUAUCUCGGCUCACUGCAACCUCUGCCUCCUGGGUUCAAGCAAUUCUCCUGCCUCAGCCUCCCAUGAUGGUGAUUCUUAAUUAGCAGGGCCUGAAGUAAUGAGUCUCUCUCCCUUCUUUAACAAUGCAGGUGAGACGCUCCCAGGAGCACAGAUCCCGAUGGGGCUGUCUGGCUUUUCUCUUUGCAGAAUGCAUUUAUCCCCUGCCCCUGUUCCCCUCAACCUCCCUCUGUUUAUGUUCAGGCUGAUGUUUCUAUUGAUGUAUUGAUCUCUGCUAGCUGAGGAACAUUUCUGCUGAACACACUCACUUGCUCAGUGGGGGGGCCAGAGGGGCAGGCUCUGCAGGGGGUGCCAGGGACAGCAGCCUCAAGUCUGGCCUAGGGUGGGGAAGGGUGACAUCUCUGCCUGGGACAGAGAUGUUGAUGGGAAACAGAGAAAUGAUUACUUGUAAAGACAAAAGUGGGCAAAGGGAAGAACUAUGAUCAACAGCUGUGGCCUCCCAUGGAUGCCCUGGGGCACGGGGCCUCGUGUGGCAUGGAGACGGACUGGCCUGGAAUCGUUUUACUCCACUUCACUUUUGAGUGGAUGCAGAUCAGUCUUCCCACCUGCAUAGGGAAGCUUUUUUCUCCUUACUCUUCGUCCAUGGUUAAGAGACUCAAAAUAACAUGGGAAUGUGUAUUAAAACCUGUAAACUGCCAAAGGAAUCAAUGUGAGCUAGGAUGCCUUGUUGCCACUACCUGAGGACCUGUGAGGUUUUUAGCUGAGUGUGAUCUUGAGAGCAUAGUUCUCCCCUUAGCAGCUGAAUUGUUUGAAAUGCUUGUUUUCCGGUGCCGUAAAGAAAUCGUACUUGAACAUAAAUUUAUUUAGCAAGGCCAUUUUUACUUCCUGGAGGAAGGGUACACUCGCCAGCAGUUUUGCCACGAGUACACCGAACGAAGGAGACAGGGUCAUUCAUAACCUGACGCGUCCACCCUACUGCUGUAUCCGGUUUCCACUGGCUGGAACGGGACCUCACGUUCUGUAUUUGUCCUGAUUGGCUAGCAACUGAGAACUUUUUAAAAGAGGCAAAGGUAGAGGAGAAUAAAGGAAGGAGGAAGUAACUUGUGUAAUGCUGAGAAAGGUAAAAACACCUUCAAAUAAGGAAGAGGAACAGGCUAUGACCUAAUGCUUGCUUGGACCAGUAUAAGCAACCCAGGACAAAUAUUUAGGCUAAAUUGUGGGAGCUAAGAACAUAAAGUAUAUUGAUUUCUUUAUUACGGCUAGCAGAUAUUUAAGAAUGUUAGCACAGGUCUUUGAAUAAAUUUUGCUUCUAAGAGAAGUUACUAUUUAUUCCUAAUUAGACGGGGAGGAAAGUGUUUGAUAGAGGAACCUUUACUUUUUACAGGGACCCAGACGGGUCUGCAGCGACAGGCUCACAAAGAGGGCCCAUCUGCUGUCCAGAAGAGACAUGCUUGUCUCAGCUCGACAAAGCAGUUCCAUUGCCACGCUCUCACUGCUGGAGCUCCCCGCCCAUCCUCCACCCAGUGGAAUUUGGGGUGAUCCGAGCAAAUCUCUCAUUUUUGCAAAAUUCCAUCAGGCAUUUAACCAAAGGCAGAUUCAGGCUGAGGGUAGGGGAGAGUGAGGGUAGGGGAGAGGGUAGGGGAGAGAGGGUAGGGGAGAGGGUAGGAGAGGGUAGGGGCACACAAAAGAGGGCAGCUUCCUUGUCUUUAAUGUCAUGCGCCUCCCUGUGAAGAGACCACCAAACAGGCUUUGUGUGAGCAAUAAAGCUUUUUAAUCACCUGGGUGCAGUUGGGCUGAGUCCGAAAAGAGUCAGCAAAGGAUGAUGGGAUUUUCAUUAGUUCUUCUAGGUUUGGAAUAGGUGGUGGAGUUAGGAGCAAUUUUUUGUGGGCAGGGGGUGGAUCUUACAAAGUAUAUUCUCAAGGGUGGGGAGAAUAUUACCAAGCACCUUCCUAAGGGUCGGGGAGUAUAUUACAAAGUACCUUCUCAAGGGUGGGGAGGGUGUAUUGUCACAAAGUCAAUUGAUCAGUUAGGGUGGGGCAGGAACAAAUCACAGUGGUGGAAUGUCAUCAGUUAAGGCGGUAACAGGCUAUUUUCACUUCUUUUGUGGAUCUUCAGUUGCUUCAGGCCAUCUGGAUGUAUACGUGCAAAUCACAGGGCAUAUGAUGAUGGCUUAACUUGGGCUCAGAGGCCUGACAUUUAACUUGCCUUCCUCCCUCGAAACAUUUCCUUGUUUUGACUUCUAGCUCUAGGUACCUGCUCACAGAGCCCCUGCCCUCAACACUGUGGUCUUUCCACUCAAGGAAGCCUCAGUUGGCUUUUUGUGGGGUGGUAAGACAUUGCUUGGUCAUGAUGUGAAAUGCAAUGAGACACCACCUUAAUUCGGACUCAACGCCAUCUGGUAGCCUGGUACUUUCACACACAUAACCUGGGAAGAGGUUAGCAAAUUGCAUGUCAGGAAAUGCAUGUUCUUAUCUUUGUGGCAUGAGAAGAAGAAGGAGGCAAGUCCUGGGUCCUAGUUUCAACUCUGCCGUCACUGAGUGGAUAAGCAGUUACUUCAUGACUCCAACCUUUGGUUUUCUCCAGGGCUGGACUCAAGGCCACUCCCAGAGUCUUUUCUGUGGCUCUGACUUCGGAGGCUUUAAGAGCACUGGGGACCCAUUCAUCACAUUUCAAGUCAACUCCGUGAAGAAUCAUUUAGUCAGAAUUAUCCCAGGAGGCUCAGCUCGCCCCCUGAGCAGGUUUCCCAGCAGCACUCCGGCUGGGCCCAUUGCACAUGCCAGCCCAGAGGACUCAUGGUUAAUGUCCGGGCGAGAGAAGCUCGGGACGCUUAUGGUUGGCAGAUUAGCGUUGGGAGGCAUGGCAGUGUUGAUCAAAGGACAACCUUGGGCUGGGCUCAAAGUGGGAGCAAUUGGGAGAAAUAAUUAGGCAGAGUCAGAAAGAAAUGUAAAUACACCUGGACCUGCCUCUCCUGUUCACCAGAGUCCUACAGCUGACGCCUGCACAUAUCUAUGACCAGGAGCUAAGUCCCCCAUUCACGCUCCUGACCAACAUCUGCCUCCUGGGAUGGAGUGGGCCCUCCUCCACACACUGGCAUCCAUUAGGCACACCUUUACACGCUGUACCCCACCCUCUCAGUGUGAGAUGUCCUCAAGGUCACCUGAUCCAGCAGCCUUGAAAGGAGGCCUCUUCACAUGGCAUUGUUCCAAACCCCAGCACCUGCAGGCUCAUUUUCUCUCAACACUUAAUUCCUGGUGGGUAUGGUUUAAAGCUACUCAGAGCUCCAGGACAGUGUGUCUGGCCAGCAAGGGGCCAGGAAGCCAGCCUUCCCCUUCCUUAUGCCGUGGCCUGCCCUCAUUUCCCAUAUCCCCACUGCUCCCUAGCCCCUCCUUCCCAGGCCUGGCUUCAGCAGCCCAUUUGGGCCCUCUUGCCCUCACCCCACCCCACACCCAUCAACUGCAAGAGAAGCUUAUUGGACAUGAACGGUGUCAACACAGAGAUGAACAGGACUAAAAUUCUUGGGAGAAGAGCUCACGGGAGCUGAUGCUUGAUCUGGGUCAAAGGAGUAGAUAGGAAGGGGGGGUGGGUUCCACUUAUUGGCUCAGCCAAGGUGCAGUCUGCCUAGGAACCCUCCCAGAGAGCUGUGGUGGGGGUGGACUCAUUAAAGUAGACCGCAGGGGAGCACCCCACCCUGGCCAGGGAACAGACGCAGCUCAAGUUAGCAUAGUGCAGUGGCCAGCCUGCCGUGGACGGGUGUAAGGGCUGAUCAGAUGAGGGAACAAUUGAUUGUGCCUGACAAGGCCAGGCAAGGCUUCGUGAAGCUGGGCUCUGGCCCAAGUGAGGCCUGGAUAGACAGGUCAGUGCAAAGCUGGAAAGGAGCAGAGCCAGCAACUGUUUUUGAUGUACAGAUGACUGUGCCACUCCCCAGCAGCCCCUUCUUUAUUCUGGGUACCUGGACGUCACCAUGACAACCAAGCC
rnacentral:lncRNA from 1 species